AAUUAUAAUUAUUUUCUUAUCUUAGAUGACAUGUUUUGCUUUUUUCUAUAAAUCGCCUUUAUCUGAUUUCAUGAUGAGUAGCUUGUUUGUGAUCCUGUUCGUUUCUUUUGUUAUUCUUUACUUUUGAUACAUUUCACUACCCUGGCUUACCUUUAUUUGUGGUCUGGAAUGAGAGGAACUAUUCAAUCGCUAUAUUAAGUCUCUAUAUUAGGAUCAAACAUUAAAUCAUUUUAAUAGGAUUUUCUUACAUCUGAGUUUUUCAUGGGCUCUAUCACAAGCUGAAUUGACAAGCAUAUUAAACUAAAACACUGGGAACUUAAAAUGAUUCAACCUGGGAAUUAGGGAUGAACAAAUUCAUAAUCCAUUUAUUUAUUGCUUUCAGAUCCAGAAAUGAUUUCAUCACAUUUUGUCUCAACAUUCAGGUAUGAUUUGCAGAUGACUGAUAACAACCAUCAUGUUGUGGAAAAGAACACAUCUCUCAGAAAGUUACACAUGCGCAUCAAGUUUUUGUUUGCCCACUAAGCCCAGCUAUGACCAUGCUGACUCCUUCGCAGCAAGCAUGACCUCCUCACAGGAAGAAAGGCAUACUCAUCUAUAAGAAUUCUACGUAUGGAAAAGAGCUAUUUGUAGCUGCAUAAAGAAAAGCUGCCACGCUAGGAAAGACUUUGACCCAUCCAGCCUGUGUUGCCUGUCCUGUAAAGUAUUUGAUUUCAAGUUAUUCUCUGAUUGACAAAAUUUGCCUCAGUAAACCAACUGGAGGAUGAUCCAUGGAGAUCCUAUGAAGAUGCAAUCAUUCAUUCAUUUCUGACAGAAGACCUCGGUAGCCACAGGUGUCCAGAUGAGAGUAAACAUAACUUCAGGUGGUUUUCAAAUUGAGAGGCAGAUUAUUGGCAUCAAGUUCAUCAAAUUUACAUCUGUUGU
rnacentral:lncRNA from 1 species